CUAUCGUUCCGUGUCGCUGCAAAUUCAGCGAUCGGGUCUAGCAGCCUGGAUA
rnacentral:ncRNA from 1 species